CCUACGGGGGGCAGCAGUGAGGAAUAUUGGUCAAUGGGCGUAAGCCUGAACCAGCCAAGUCGCGUGAAGGAUGACUGAUCUAUGGGUUGUAAACUUCUUUUAUAAGGGAAUAAAGUGUGGCCCGCGUGCCUCUUCGUAUGUACUUUAUGAAUAAGGAUCGGCUAACUCCGUGCCAGCAGCCGCGGUAAUACGGCGGAUCCGAGCGUUAUCCGGAUUUAGUGGGUUUAAAGGGUGCGUAGAUGGCUUUUUAAGUCAGUGGUGAAAGUUUGUGGCUCAACCAUAAAAUUGCCAUUGAUACUGGGAGGCUUGAGUAUAUUUGAGGUAGGCGGAAUGCGUGGUGUAGCGGUGAAAUGCUUAGAUAUCACGCAGAACCCCGAUUGCGAAGGCAGCUUACUAAAC
rnacentral:rRNA from 1 species